AUUUGUGUGAGUUGUACGCAAUGAAAUAUUUAGAAAGUUUUGUACUUUUAGAAACAGAUCUAUUUCUUUCUAAUCUUUACUUAUUUUAGCGAUUAAAUAAUUUAUCACAUGUAAGAUAAAAUAAGGAAUUUUUACAUAUAAAUUGGCUUAAUAGCCCAUAUUUACAUAUCCAUUAAGUCAAAGUACCAUAGUUUCAAAAAAAUGUAUUUGACUAAAUUGCUUAGGUGGCACAUGAAUUUUUACUUUAAAAUUUGUGUUACCUAAAGUGCCCUUCUCUCUAUUUUCUGUGCUGCCUAAAAUGCCCUUGUCCAUGUUACAAUACAUUUUACCUUUAGAGCCCUAACGUCAUUGAAUUCUCUCAUUCGUGCAAGAGCCCUCUCGCUCUCUCUCUGCCCUAACCCUCACUGAAAUCUCAUUCGUGAAGCUCAAAAGCCCUCUUUCUCUUUCCCCCUCUCUGUAACAGCCAUUUUACAGUCAUUAGUGCACCCUCUCUCUCCCCCUCUCUGUCUAACCAGCGAAGCAAGACCAGGCCACACAUCUCGGCAUACAGCAUCAACAAACAUGGAGGUCUUCUCCACUUUGUUUCUCUCUAAUGACCGAUUCCAUUUGCUGUGAAAUGAAGCCAGACCUAGGUUGUAUCUCUCUUUCCUUCACAAUUUAAUUCAAGGAUGAAUCUAGGGUUUGAGAGCCCUCACCCUCAUAGUCUACUCUUGUCGCUGUUCUUCUUCUUGGUGGUCCAUGUGCUUCGUGAACUUUACUCCACUAAUUUGGUAUAGGAUGUUAUCUCCAAUCAAGAAGCAAUUGAAAUUGUACCUUCCACACCUGAAAGAGAGAAGUUAACUAAAUGUCUGGUUGAAUGCACUAUCGAAGCAUGGAAACGCAAGAGGCGCAGUAUUGCAACAGACGGUGUUUCUGCUAUUUGUCUUUUGUUUCACACUUCACCCUCAUCUUAGGAAAUUCAUUCUGUUACUAUGUCAAAAUAGUUGUGACGAAAAAGAGCAAGUUACUUGCUUGGAUUUUGUAUCAUGGACAAUGAGGUGGUUUUUUGACAAGUGCAGACUGAAACUCAAGUGCUAGAAGGUGCUUAUCCCCAAAAAAAAGUCAAUUCAGCCAAAUUAGAGCAAAAAAGAAGCAAUCUCAAGCUGAAUGGAAGAAUGGAGAAAAGUGGAAGUAAAGUGGUAAAAAUCAGCAAACUUCGAUCGAUCAGGAAUAUUUUCGAUCGAUCUCACCUCACCAUGAUGGAUCAAACCCCUUGUCCUUAUUCUCAAUAAAUUUCAUCUUCGAUCGAUCCAACUUCCUUCAGAUUGAUCAAACUUCCUUGAUCUUAUCCCUACCUACCACUUUUGUCUUUUUCCCAAAAUAUCCCAAAAUAUCUCAGAGAUUUGUCGUAUUCCAAAAAAGCGCCGCCAAGGAUUGAUCGAUCGGGCCUUAAUUCGAUGGAUUUGGCCACAGUUCAAUCAAUCUCAUUUGAAUUUGAUCGAUCGAACCUCCUCAAGUCCGAAUUAAAAUAGAGUACAUCUCAUUAAAAGAUGGCUCGUGCUGCAAUCAUUGAAGGGACCCUAGUGCACGAGACCUGACCAUUAGGUGUGACACUUGAGCUACCAAUAUAAGGAUUUUGAGCCAUUUUUACAUCACAUCUCAGCAUAACUUAGAUAUUUCAAUACAUCUCAUAUCACAUAUCUUGGAGAGGAGGCUAGAGCUUAGAGAGACAUACACUAUUUUGGAAGUUCUUCCAUUCUUCUAGGGUUUUCAUCAAGAAGAAGAGCAUUUCUACCAUGGAGAUGGCCUUUGAGGGUUGGAUAACUACAUCAAUGAGUAGCUAAACAUCUUCUUGGGGAUAGAGUUAGCCCUAAGCAUGCCUUCUAGACCUUGAUGUUCUGUAUUUUGAGGGGAUUUGUGUUGUAAUCUUGUCUUGACAUUUGAUUUAUUUAUGAAUCUUGUUUUUACAA